AUUGAACGCUGGCGGCAGGCUUAACACAUGCAAGUCGAGCGGGGAAAAGUAGCUUGCUACUUAACUUAGCGGCGGACGGGUGAGUAAUACUUAGGAAUCUGCCUAUUAGUGGGGGACAACAUUUCGAAAGGAAUGCUAAUACCGCAUACGUCCUACGGGAGAAAGCAGGGGAUCACUUGUGACCUUGCGCUAAUAGAUGAGCCUAAGUCGGAUUAGCUAGUUGGUGGGGUAAAGGCCUACCAAGGCGACGAUCUGUAGCGGGUCUGAGAGGAUGAUCCGCCACACUGGGACUGAGACACGGCCCAGACUCCUACGGGAGGCAGCAGUGGGGAAUAUUGGACAAUGGGGGGAACCCUGAUCCAGCCAUGCCGCGUGUGUGAAGAAGGCCUUUUGGUUGUAAAGCACUUUAAGCGAGGAGGAGGCUACUCUAGUUAAUACUUAGGGAUAGUGGACGUUACUCGCAGAAUAAGCACCGGCUAACUCUGUGCCAGCAGCCGCGGUAAUACAGAGGGUGCGAGCGUUAAUCGGAUUUACUGGGCGUAAAGCGUGCGUAGGUGGCCAAUUAAGUCAAAUGUGAAAUCCCCGAGCUUAACUUGGGAAUUGCAUUCGAUACUGGUUGGCUAGAG
rnacentral:rRNA from 1 species